GACGAACGCUGGCGGCGUGCCUAAUACAUGCAAGUGAACGCUGAGGAGAGCUUGCUUCUCUGGUGAGUUGCGAACGGGUGGUAACGCGUAGGUAACCUGCCUGGUAGCGGGGAUAACUAUUGGAAACGAUAGCUAUACCCAUAGAGUAGUGUUGCAUGACAUUUGCUUAAAAGGUGCAAUUGCACACUACCAGAUGGACCUGCGUUGUAUUAGCUAGUUGGUGAGGUAACGGCUCACCAAGGCGACGUACAUACCCGACUGAGAGGGUGAUCGCCACACUGGGACUGAGACACGGCCCAGACUCUACGGGAGGCAGCAGUAGGGAAUCUCGGCAAUGGACGGAAGUCUGACCGAGCAACGCCGCUGAGUGAAGAAGUUUCGGAUCGUAAAGCUCUGUUGUAAGAGAAGAACGAGUGUGAGAGUGGAAAGUUGCACACUGUGACGGUAUCUUCCAGAAAGGACG
rnacentral:rRNA from 1 species